rnacentral:ribozyme from 1 species
ACUGGGUUGCUCUGUAAUGGGAUGGGAUCCGAAGACCUCCGAGGGAUAACAUAGGCUCUCCCAUCCAACUCCUAUUCCGACACGUCCUCGUCGUGCAGAGUGGUAACAUGUGCCUCCAUAUAUCCUAGCUUGGGUNNN